ACCUUAAUGCAGCCAUCCGGAAGGAUGCCGGUCACAAGCCCGGAUAAAGGCAGAGUGAGGU
ncrna:unclassified sequences type-P1 twister ribozyme